GAGAGUGUUUCGGGGCUCCCCUCAUCACUGGUACUAGGGAAAAGAGUUUGGGCUGAUAAGACUCAGAUCUGCUUAUCUUCUUGUCCUGGGAUAUUGGGGAAAAUAAAAUCUGUAACAGUGCCUACCUGCCUGGGUUGUUGUGAGGAACAAAUGAGAUGCACACGAGAACUCUUUUGUAAACCUUAACAAGAGAAACACCUUCAGACUUAGAAAGGCAGAAAAGUGGUUCACAAAAAGUAGAAAGAAGGAGGUGGUACAGUUCCAAUGAUCUUGUGAUGAAGCGAGCCAUCUACAUCCAGAGAGAGGACUGUGGGAACUGAGUGGUUCACAACAUACAUUUUCAUUCUUUUUGUUGUUGUUUGCUUGCAUUUUAUUUUCUUUCUCAUUUUUUUCUGGUUUGAUUUGAUUUUUCUUGUGCAGUAAAAUAAUUGUGUAAACAUGCAUGCAUAUAUUGGAGUUAACAUAUACUUCUACCAUGUCUAACAUAUAUUGGAUUACUUGCCAUCUAGGAGAGAGGAUGGGGGGAAAGGGGGAAAAUUGGAACACAAGGUUUUGCAAGGGUUAAUGUUGAAGAAUUAUCCAUGCAUAUGUAUUGAAAAUAAAAAGCUUUAAUAAAAAAAAAAAAGGAGGUGAUACUUCCUGUUCUUAGUGAGAACAAGUCAUCAGGCUUAGACAAACUGUAUCCCUGAAAACUGAAAAAAAAACUGGGAAGGUGAUUACUGAACUUUUGAAAUAUCUUGGAGAGUAAAAGGGUGAUAAGCUUAAAAUAGACAAAUGUUGCCUUAGUUUUCAAAUAAGAGAAGAAAUGGUGUUUGCAAGCUAUACAUUUUACUCAGAUUCCUGGUUAAUUCAAUUCAAUAAAUACUCAUUAAGCAUUGACCACUGUGCUACAAAUGAAAAAAAAAUACAA